GAUGAACGCUAGCUACAGGCUUAACACAUGCAAGUCGAGGGACCGGCGCACGGGUGAGUAACACGUAUACAACAUGCGCUUUACUCGGCGAUAGCCUUUAGAAAGAAAGAUUAAUACGCGAAAUAAAGGAUGGGGAUGCGUUCCAUUAGGUUGUUGGUGAGGUAACGGCCCACCAAGCCUUCGAUGGAUAGGGGUUCUGAGAGGAAGGUCCCCCACAUUGGAACUGAGACACGGUCCAAACUCCUACGGGAGGCAGCAGUUAGGAAUAUUGGUCAAUUUGCGCUAGCCUUAACCAGCCAAGUAGCGUGAAGGAUGAAGGCUUAUGGGUCGUAAACUUCUUUUAUAUAAGAAUAUGUAUUAUAUGAAUAAGGAUCGGCUAACUCCGUGCCAGCAGCCGCGGUAAUAC
rnacentral:rRNA from 1 species